UUGAUGGUGACCACUACCUGCGUGCGGGCACUCUUGGGAUUAGCCCCCUUGUCCUUGGCCAUGACGGAGAACUUGAGGAUGCUGACGUCCUCGCGGUCAAUGGGCCCCUGGACAGUGAUGAGCCCUGUGUUGCGGUCCAGGCGCAGCAGCCGGCGCACCAUAUCCGAUGCUUGGUGGAAGGAGUAGUCGAUCUCGGCAUUGGCACCCUGGUCCGAGUCAUUGGCCUUCACCUGGAUGACGGAGUGCCCCACAGGGCUGUUUUCAGACAGCUCAGCCUCGUAGAGGGCCUUCUCAAACUUGGGUGCGUUGUCAUUCAUGUCCACGAUGGUGAUGCGCAGCAGUGCACUGCUGGCCCGUGGCGGGUUGCCCCCAUCCUGCACCUUGAUGGUCAGGUCGUAGGAGUCCCACUGCUCCCGGUCCAGG
rnacentral:lncRNA from 1 species